CAGAGUGCGCAUGCGCGUUAGAAAACUCCCAUUAUUUAUUUAUUUUGUUGGCUGGGAAUGUAAAAAAACACAAAAAAACAAGGCAACUGUGAAUUUUGGAUUACAUGGCUCGCGAUGGUUUUGGGAAUAUAUCUGCAUGCAAGACGGCCGAGAAGUAGUGAGACGAAAACAACGUCUUGCAUGAGUCAGCGGGGCAGCCUCCACUCUUGUCGGGACACUCCAAAUCAAGAUCAUCAUCCUCAUAUCAGCUCCUCCUUGGAUGUCAACUGAAUAAACAUCUUACAGCGUUCAUUCUUCGUGGCAGAGGCGCAGCCUGGUUGCUGGGGACACUUUGGACAUUGGCUCAGGUUAACUGGCAGUCUGUGUGCUUCUAACCCACCAGCAUGUUCAUCCGACAGUCAAUACCCUAGCCAAACCCGAGCCUGGCCUCACAAAGAUGACAAGCCGCUGGCAGGCUGCAGCUACAGAAUGAUGGGAGGAAGUGACACUGGCAGUGGGGACAAGGAUGAGGUGGUCUCCGCUGCCGUACAUGUCCCAAUCGGCUGGCAGAGGAGAGUGCAUGGCGGCCAGGUUGUGUAUGUCAGUCCCAGUGGAACUUCUCUGUCCUCCCUGGAUGAGGUGAAGACCUACCUGUUGACUGAUGGCACAUGUAAAUGUGGUCUGGAGUGCCCUCUUGUCAUCGGCAAGGUUUUCAACUUUACAUUGGGGGUAAAGGUAGAGCAGCACAAGCAGCCCCUAGGCAAAGCAGAGCAGGACAUGACCAAACUGUGUAACCAUCGCAGGAAAGUGGUGGCAAUGGCCGCUCUGUGUCGCAGUAUGCAGGCGUCACACCUGCCUUUUGGUCACCUUCAUAACCCGGAGGUGAGCAAGGGAGUGGGCAAUUGCAUCCCAAAGAGGGCUCUUGUUGAGCACGAAGAAGAGGACCGAGGCAUUUACCAUCCUAGAUUUCGUCCGGCUCCUGCGCCAGCUCAGAAUAACGCCCACCCUAACCCCAGUGCCAGCCCCAAUUCCUCUCACAAGUUUAUUUAUCCUUAUAAUGGUUCCUCCCCAGGUCCUCACACAGGCGGAAACUCUCACCAUCCCCUUGAUGCUUUACGGAGGCUUCACCAUCCUCCUCUUUCUCAAACGGUGCCCUUUACCACUUCCAGCAGCCCCCCAUUCCCUGCUUACCAUGUUGCCCAAAGGUCACCCCGCACUCCCACCCCUCAAAAUGUCAGUCAAGGUCAAAAACUGCCCCAAACUCCUGAAACCCCUGCCUCUCCUCUCCUAAGGCCCCUGUCUUCACCUCCUUGCUCUUCUCCUAAAAGCUUUGUCAUAGGAGGAAGAGUUUCACAGACUCAAGCGCAGCAUCCACAUGGGGUCAUAUGUGGAGGCUCUCCCCUCUCGCCAUCCCCCAUCCUCUCUCCGUCUGUCCUUCACAUGAAUUCUGUGUCUCCUCAGCAGCGGUCCCACUACCCUUCGGCCUCCCCCUCUCACGUCUCUGAUCAGGGUGGAAUCUCCACCGCAGCGGCUGAAGGGCUGACGGCAAGUAAUUUGUCACGGAGGAGGAAGUCCUGCUCUUCCUCUCCGCACUCCCCUCUGCUUUGUGGUUCACCAAACCCCACCCCCCACAUCUUCAAGUUUAAGCUGGAAGACAUCUUGGAGCAGUUUAAGAACUCUGGCAACGGUAGCACUAAUAACCACCGCCUCGCAAACCCUACAAAUCCCAGCACAUUGACUAACCAAAGCAGUCACAGUCCUCAUGCUCCCCCACUGAAACCCGCAAACAGUACAGCAAAUCUCGGCACAGCCCCACCAGGUUUUGGCUUGAAUCCUGCGGGGAUUUCCAACACUAUCGUGGCACCGUUUUUGAACCACCACAGUCACCAGGGCCAGCUGCCGGCCUCAACUUCUUUUCCGGCAAGUAGCCUGCUCUCCGCGGCUGCAAAAGCUCAGCUGGCUAGCCAGGUAACUCAUGGUCAGGGCUCAAAUGUGGCCUGCAGCCAAACAAGUGGCUCCUCCUCCUUGGAAAUCGUGACAGAGGCACAGCAAAGACAGUCGACCAAGGUAACAAACAGCACUUUAAAAAACAGCCACCUUUCCUCCCCUAUUGCUGCCUCGAGGCCUCACUGUCCCGCUCUAGCAGCAGCGUCUUCUGUCCUCUUUCCUUCACCCCACUCCCUAGCCCAGUCCCUGGCUUCUUCCUUGCCCCAAUUGCCUCCUAAAACAGAGCAAAAUGCAUCGCACAGGAAAAGGCGGCGGCGAUCUCCCACUGUUCUGAGCACGAUCAAAGACACCCAGCAGCUGGCCAAUGGGCCGCAGAAGCCCCAGCCCGGAGAAUGCGUCUCCGCUACUGCUCUGAACCUAUCAUCUUUGGCUUUCCCUCGCUCUGUCUCUGCCUCUACCUCAGAUGUGCAGAACCCGAAUAGCGGCACGCACGAGCGCCACCAUCAUCUGCCACCGGGGCAGACAUCCAAGUUCUUGACUUCCAAACAGACGGCACAUCUUUCUGGAACUCCCCGACAGGCAGAAGGCCUGGAUAUCACUACAGGCUUGGCGCCAACAUCCCUUAGCUUGGAUCCUCCAACCCAGCCCCUUUCUGCUCUUUUGCACUUACUCAGUGUACAGAAUGCUCAGGCCGCAGCCUCGGCUUCUAACCCCGCUCCAGCUCAUUUGGGAUCUUUGUCUGUAGAAGGGGGUGGACACACUAAGACGCAGAGCCCCACACCAUCGCCCUCUCCUAUAUCCCCUCAUUCCAGCGGCAACCGCCCGCAGCCUCCGUCACCAUGCCGAACCAGUAACACUAAUAUGAUAUCGUCGGUUCAAGAAACGCUCUCUCCCACUCGCACCUCCACUCAUUUCAGUUCAGUGCAGUCACGAUCUCAGUCUCUGAGAUUAAGUCCUCCACAAAGACAUUCUUCGACAUCCUCAAUGUUGUCACGCUCCAAUUUAGCUUUACACAACAGCAGCAGCCCAUCUCCGUCACACAUGGCCCCUACUCCACUUGACAGGCACCAUCCAACUGAGAAUCAUGUUCCAGCAACUGACACUGUUUCCCGGGUGCUUUCACCAGAAGCAUCGCCGCAGAGCAUGAUCGGUAAUGAUCGGUCAACAGCAGACCCGAGUCACCCACAAAGCGACAUAUCUGUGGCAUUACCCACCUCGCCAAAGCCUCUUGAUCUCAGCAAUCAUGUUCUAGCCCUUCUUGCAGCAUCCUCCACUGCACGGCAGGAGGAACGCAGCUCCGCUGACCAUACAACAGAUAUAGUGAUGUCUUCCCAAGAAAGUCACUCUCCAGGUUCCGGUGACUGUGAACGUGGAGACUUGAAGAACUCCGCAUCAACGAAACCUCUGACACCCACCAGUUCGGAGGUCGUCGCCUCUUCUCAGCUUGGGGAGGACCGUCCUCAGACACCUUCAGCGAUGAGCGACUCGACCGCCCCUUUACCUCUGGCAGAGGCCUUCCCUUUCAUGAACCAAGAUCAGCUUCUUCAGCUGCUGUCUUCCACAGGAGGCCUGCCAUCCAUACUGGACCCUACGGUCCUGUCCUCAUUACACCUCGGAGGGCUGUGGUUGGGUGGGCAAAAUGCACAGACACCUUCCAGUGCUCCAACACAAAAUCUUGUCGAGCAACAUCCCGUAAUGAUCCAAUCCGAGGCACAGCAGCAAAGCCAGGAUCAGCAACAGAAGCAGCAACAGAUAAACAGUAAUCCUCUCUUUCCGUUGUUGCCUCUGUUGAGCGGCGUGCAAGGGGACAUACCUCUUAAUCUGUUGGGCCUUCUAAACCCAAUCCCACCUCCAGCCUCAGCUUCUGCCACAGGACAGGAAUCUGAUUUGGGACUAACAGAAAAACCAAGUCACCAAGCUCUGCUUAUGGCGUCCUUGCUGCUCGGGCAACACCAGGCGCCUUUGUUACCCUUAUCUGGACUGAGUCAGGUGGGUCAGGUCAGCUUGGAGGUUCCUCUUCAGCAGCCGCCGCAGAUCCCCGCCUCUUUGGAGGGCCUCAUGUUGGAUAAGGCCGCUGCUCUCUUGGAUCCGUCAACUCUUCAUGGGUCGGGGCUUCUGGAAGUCACCCAGGGUCUUCCCCUCCCGCCUGGAGCGGAAGGGUCUGUCCAAGCUCUGCAGUCCCUGCUCCUUCCUCCUCACCCGGCUACCUUCCUGCCUUUUAGCCCCGCCCUCCUUACAGCUGCUCUAAACACAGCUGACUUACCCCAUACCCAGUUAACUCCUGUUCAGCAUACCCAACCUCAGGAACUGUCAGAUGCUGGUGUGGACACCCUCAUCCCCCUUUCUCUCCAAGGAAAGGAAAACCCCAUUCUGCAGCAAUUACUUCCCACUUUACUUAACCCUGCUGUGUUAGGAGACAUUUCUGGCAUUGCCGGGCUCCAUAACAUGGUGGGUAUCGGAGCCGGUUCUUUACUCCUGCCCUCAGUCCAGACCUCAUCUUUGGGGAUGCCUCUCCUGCAAGGUCCUGAUGGGACCAUCAACUUGCUCAACAACAUUCAGCUGAAUCUUGCGCCAUCCUCUGAAGGAGAGAAGUCCAACUCGUUGCAGGAAACGGAGAGCCCCGCCCCUCACUGUGACAUUCCAGCCUCUCAGAUCUCUCCUGAAGAGGUUGCUAGUCCGCCUCCAACACCUGCCCAAGAAACGAGCCGACCGCCACAUCGAGGGUCUGAAGGCAGGCCAGUUAUCGACCCCUACACCUCUUUCAUGGAUACAAUUUACACCUCCUUCCUUCAAAUUAACGCUAAAGAGCAGGAAGAUGGGGUCCACUCUGGGCCGUCUGACCCUACAUCACCUUUCUGUGCCUUACCGCCCGUCACUUUCCCCAUGGAGCACCACACUCUCUCCACACCUGCCCCAACUCAGCACCAGGCGAGUGCCCCGGUCUCCCUCAGCCCACGGCGGGCUUGCUCCCUGCGAAACCCAGACUUGUCACGCCUCAGCUUGGAAGCGGCAGCUCACUCUCCAGCCCAGGGUACGCCCAAACCCACUGAGGAUGUGGCCACAUCGCCUCUACAAAGAAAAACAGUCAUGGUGGAGGGACACACCCAUCCAGAGCCCCCCUUACCAUCCAUAUACUUGGAGGAAGCCAAGACGGACUGUACCGGUGUGGAUAGACAGGCAGGUUAUCUGAGUCCUGGGGAUGGUUGCAGUGGGAGACCGCAUAAGGAUGCACCUGGGACAUUGUUGCACAGUGAACAGGGAAGGGAACAAUCAGGAACUGUGUCCGGAGUCCGUCGAGGGAGAAAAAGAAAACAGACGCUGCAGAAUGUGUUGGAGGACUUCAGAGACGUGGAUGCUACAACAGCACUCGAAGAAACAAAGGCUACUACGUUUUCCAGUCAUCACCCUGGAAUGUAAGGCACUUUCCCAGCAUUCACCUGCACUCCUGGAAGGAUUCUUCAAAGAUUUUCCACAGCUGCGCUGUCAGGUCCAUCUUGUUGUCGUCCGCUUCUUCAAAACGGUUCCCUUGGAUGAGCUUUGGAAAGAGGAAAAAAAAAAUCUCACGGAGCCAGGACAGACGGCCCUGUUGAAGCCCGACACAUCGGUCCGAGGCAGGAGGAGACGAGGGGUGAGGUCUCAGAGGCAGUGAUUGUUGCAGGGAGCUGUCAGUCACAGCUGUUCCACCAAUCAGAAUCAGACUUCACUUCCUGACUCCACCCAUGCAUCCCAAUCCACCCACAUCACUUAUGAUUUUUUUUUUUAAGUGUCAAUCUCAGUCAACUGCACUAAUCAUGUUGUUCAUGUUAACCAAUGCCAUGAAAACGAGUGGAAAAAUAUAGCAUCGGUCGAGCUCCAGACUGGGGGAAAAACAUUUUUUAAAAGGAAAUUUUUAAAAUAAAUGUGGAUAUUUUCUCACUCUUAGGUCUAGUUAACACAAUAAUGGUUGUGUUGGUGUGAUCACAGCUCUCUUCACGAUGUUAGCGUCAUAUCUUUUUAUUUUUAUUUUUUACACAGACAAAACAAGAGAACUCUUCUCAUGUAUCUGUUACUGUGAGUCGCAAUGAAGCCCGUCUACUUGAACCAUGCUCUCUGUGGAAAGUGUGUAUGUAGCUGUAUGUAUGUGUGCGUGCGUGUGUCUUUUUUAAUAUGUUGAUUGUGUUGGACAACAGAGCUAUUGCUGAGCCCCUCACUCGUGGUUUAGUUGGAAUUCUGGUCAAGUCAUGGAUGACACCCUCUGAUGAGACCCUCUGUUUCAAGAAAGAAAGGACUCUUGAAGGCACACUCCUAAUGUUUUCAGAUGAUGCUGGAAACGUAGAUGUAUGAUUUUUAUUUUUCUCUCAUAGUAUAAAGCCACCGUUUUUGGAUUUCUUUUACUUCCUCCCUUGAGUAGAUGGCCAUCCGUCAUGUAGCGCCCCCCCCCCCCCUUGUCAUGAACAAAAUGGGGAUUCUUAAAAGCCAGAGCUGUGAUAGCUCAUAUGGAUUUGAUGAGUCUGCCUAACUGUAGAAAAAUCCUUACACUGCCCUCCCCUCAAAAUACUGUCAUCUCUCGCUGUAUUUAACAAAAAAAAAAAGAAGAAAAAAAGCAAAUUAUGCAAUUUCUAUUCACUUGGAGAUUUGUAUAUAUGUACAAUUAAUGUGUUUUAUUAUUUUAUAUGGUUUAGAGAAAAGAGAUGAGUGCAAACAAUUGUGAAUUUUCUGGGAGUAUUUUUCUCAUACUACACCCUGGCUUUCAAUACUUGUUAAAAAAAGGCGAUUAAAUUGUGGACUGUAGCUUUCUUUUUUUAUAUGGGAGUCUUUUUUUUAUUUAAUAUUAAAACUAUUUACAGAAA